AGGGSAGGGGAACCUCAACCCAGCACGUUAUCAUGAUAGAGUCUGCAGAUGCWGAGGCUACAGGUCCUGGGGUCAAGCAGGAGAUGACUGAAGAGGAGGACCCACAGCACAGCGGAGACGUCCAGACUGGUGCGGCAGGAGAGCCCCCUGCAGCCACGGAGGACCCCACAACCGCCCCAGUGCAGCCCAGGACCCAACGCAGUAUCAUGGAGGAGGAGGAGGGUCCAGAGGGGCUGCUGGUGAAGGAGGAGGG